AUUGAACGCUGGCGGCAGGCUUAACACAUGCAAGUCGAGCGAGCGGCGGCCGUGUGAGUAAUGUCUGGGAAACUGCCUGAUGUAGGGGUAUAACUACUGGAAACGGUCGCUAAUACCGCAUACAUUCAUAUAUGCCCAGAUGGUAUUAGCUAGUAGGUGGGGUAAUGGCUCACCUAGGCGACGAUCCCUCGCUGGUCUGAGAGGAUGACCAGCCACACUGGAACUGAGACACGGGCCAGACUCCUACGGGAGGCAGCAGUGGGGAAUAUUGCACAAUGGGCGCAAGCCUGAUGCAGCCAUGCCGCGGGUGUGAAGAAGGCCUUCGGGUUGUAAAGCACUUUCAGCGAGGAGGCGUUACUCGCAGAAGAAGCACCGGCUAACGCCGUGCCAGCAGCCGCGGUAAUUC
rnacentral:rRNA from 1 species